AGUGGGGGAACUAAGGGGUAGGUUUGGGGAAAUCUGGGGUUAGGGAGUGAUUGGAUGGGUUCUGAAGGGAGAAGUUGGGGGGGUCUGGCUUUGGGAUGAGGGAGGCCUUUAAAACACUUGGAGAUGCUGGGGGAGGAAGCGCUGAAAGACGCUAACGUGUUUUUUUAUGGGGGAGGGGAAGUAAGAUUUUGUGCUGGGGGCUGGGAGGGGGGAUGUGUGCAGCUGCGGUUGAGGGGAGCAUCUGUGCAGGAGGGUUGUUUGGGGAUAGGGGGAGCAUGUGUAAGCAAAGGAGGAUUUAUGUUCUUUCCAGGUUACCAUGGCAACAAGAUGCCGUGAUUUGCGCCUGACUCUUUUUUCCUAGAGAAGUAACCAUUGAGAUUGUUUUGUUUUGGUUUCAUUGAACUGGUUCCAACAAGGCAAAGAAGUAGAAUUUGUUUUGGGAAAUAGAUUAAAAUUGGCUUCCUUGACUAUUUUCACCAGCUUUUUAACUGAUCCUUACAUUUGUGAAAGUUUCACAAAUUGUUAGUUUAGACACCACUUAAAGUGGUCGCUUAAUCUGAUUUUCACUGGUCAGUUGUGAUGGCUUUUAUGGUUUUAAAAUGCCCUAAAACAGCUCCAGGGCAGUUCAGAAGUAUUACAUGAGGACUUUGUAUAAUGAGGCUGUAUGGAAACAUGCAGAGAGAAAGAAUGAGUUUGCUCUACUCAAUGGAAAAAGCUCAUGAACAAAGCUCCAGAGAACCUAGGGUCGGUACCACCUGUUAGCUUUAAAUGAGCAAUUUGGGAUAAUCCAAAAUGAGCCUAUAGAAUAGGACUCUGUGUAGGUCUCCGGGGUCUGUCCAUGUGGAUCUGAUUACAGGACUGUAUCGUUCAGUCCCAUAUUUCUUAUGGUGCUGGCCUUCUUGGUCUUGCUCCUGCAGCUGUAUCCAUGUUUGUGACUGCAUGGAGCCCAGGUGUCAGGCUAAGUUUUCUUAGAUGCUUCCCAGGAAAGCCGGAAGUGUGAGAGUGCCUAGGAAAGCUGGAAGAACCUUGGAGCCGGCAGUUGGGCUUUUCCGAAGCAUCAGAAAUGGCUCCUGUUAAAAUCAACCACAUUGUGUCCUUCACGUCUCAGGACCCCAGGUACCCCGUGGAGAAUCUGCUGCGUGAGGACGACAUUCGCCCUUGGUUGAGCUGCCCCCAGGAUCGGAGCAGGCAGCUGAAGGUGGAGCUGCAGCUGGAACGGGCUAGCUCCAUCGGCUACAUGGACAUAGGUAUGAGAGGGAGAAACCGAGACCCCUGGGGGGGUAGCCUAAGCUCCCUAUCUCUCUGGGGUCUCCUGUAAUGCUACUGUGAUUGUCUCAGCACUUCGUGUGUUCUGAAGAGCCCAGAGGUGUCUAGCUCCUGCCCUGUGCCCCCGUGAUCAUGCUGUUCGCCUGUCUCUUGUCCCGGCAACUCUGUUUUACUGAGGGAGAAACUGAGGCUCGGUGAGGGCAGGUGACUUGCCUGCGUGAGGCAGCACAGAGUGGGGCAGUCGCCUGGC